GUAAUAGCUCACUAGUCGAGAGGUCCUGCGCCGAAAAUGUCCGGGGCUAAAACACGACACCGAAGCUGUGGAUCCGAAAGGAUGGUAGAGGAGCAUUCUUAAGUCGACGAAGCUGUACUGUAAGGAGCAGUGGAGAGUUAAGAAGAGAGAAUGCCGGAAUGAGUAGCGAGAUUUAAGUGAGAAUCUUAAAGGCCGAAUAUCUAAGGUUUCCAGGGUAAAGCUGAUCUUCCCUGGGUAAGUCGGGGCCUAAGGCGAGGGCGAGAGCCGUAGUCGAUGGAUAACAGGUUGAAAUUCCUGUACUGCUUAUGGACAGAACUGUGGGGACGCAGAAGGAGAGCACGAGCCGGAAAUGGAAAAGCCGGUACAAGCGUAUAGCAGUCAUGCAGGCAAAACCGCAUGAAAAAUGUAAAGCGUUAUGUGGAUCGAACAUUAGUAGAGAAGCGUGUGAGCCAGCUGCCAAGAAAAGCCGCUAUUGUUUCAUAAGUACCCGUACCGUAAACCGACACAGGUGGAUGAGGAGAGAAUCCUAAGGCCGGCGGGAGAAGCAUUGUUAAGGAACUCGGCAAAAUGACCCCGUAACUUCGGGAGAAGGGGUGCUCCAGAGAUGGAGCCGCAGAGAACUGGCCCAAGCAACUGUUUAGCAAAAACACAGGUCUAUGCAAAACCGAAAGGUGAGGUAUAUGGGCUGACGCCUGCCCGGUGCUGGAAGGUUAAGAGGAGAGGUUAGCGCAAGCGAAGCUUUGAAUUUAAGCCCCAGUAAACGGCGGCCGUAACUAUAACGGUCCUAAGGUAGCGAAAUUCCUUGUCGGGUAAGUUCCGACCCGCACGAAAGGCGUAAUGAUUUGGGCACUGUCUCAACAACACACCCGGUGAAAUUGAAAUACCAGUGAAGAUGCUGGUUACCUGCGCCAGGACGGAAAGACCCCAUGGAGCUUUACUCCAGUUUGAUACUGGGAUUCGGUACUGUCUGUACAGGAUAGGUGGGAGGCUAGGAAAUGGUGACGCCAGUUGCCAUGGAGCCAACCUUGGGAUACCACCCUUACAGUACUGGGUUUCUAACCUGCAGCCGUGACCCGGCUGGGGGACAAUGUCUGACGGGGAGUUUGACUGGGGCGGUCGCCUCCGAAAGAGUAUCGGAGGCGCUCAAAGGUUCCCUCAGAACGGUUGGAAACCGUUCGAAGAGUGCAAAGGCAGAAGGGAGCUUGACUGCGACACCGACGGGUGGAGCA
rnacentral:rRNA from 1 species